rnacentral:rRNA from 1 species
GGAGCGAACCAGGGGAACUGAAACAUCUAAGUACCCUGAGGAAAAGAAAUCAACCGAGAUUCCCUUAGUAGUGGCGAGCGAACGGGGACCAGCCCUUAAGUUGGAUCGAGAUUAGCGGAACGCUCUGGAAAGGGCGGCCAUAGUGGGUGAUAGCCCUGUACGCGAAAGUCUCUUUGCAAUGAAAUCGAGUAGGACGGGGCACGAGAAACCUUGUCUGAAUAUGGGGGGACCAUCCUCCAAGGCUAAAUACUACUGACUGACCGAUAGUGAACCAGUACCGUGAGGGAAAGGCGAAAAGAACCGCGGAGAGCGGAGUGAAAUAGAUCCUGAAACCGUAUGCGUACAAGCAGUGGGAGCCCACUUUGUUGGGUGACUGCGUACCUUUUGUAUAAUGGGUCAGCGACUUAUUUUCAGUGGCAAGCUUAACCGAAUAGGGGAGGCGUAGCGAAAGCGAGUCUUAAUAGGGCGUCUAGUCGCUGGGAAUAGACCCGAAACCGGGCGAUCUAUCCAUGGGCAGGUUGAAGGUUAGGUAACACUGACUGGAGGACCGAACCGACUACCGUUGAAAAGUUAGCGGAUGACCUGUGGAUCGGAGUGAAAGGCUAAUCAAGCUCGGAGAUAGCUGGUUCUCCUCGAAAGCUAUUUAGGUAGCGCCUCAUGUAUCACUGUAGGGGGUAGAGCACUGUUUCGGCUAGGGGGUCAUCCCGACUUACCAAACCGAUGCAAACUCCGAAUACCUACAAGUGCCGAGCAUGGGAGACACACGGCGGGUGCUAACGUCCGUCGUGAAAAGGGAAACAACCCAGACCGUCAGCUAAGGUCCCAAAGUCAUGGUUAAGUGGGAAACGAUGUGGGAAGGCUUAGACAGCUAGGAGGUUGGCUUAGAAGCAGCCACCCUUUAAAGAAAGCGUAAUAGCUCACUAGUCGAGUCGGCCUGCGCGGAAGAUGUAACGGGGCUCAAACCAUGCACCGAAGCUACGGGUAUCAUCUUUUGAUGAUGCGGUAGAGGAGCGUUCUGUAAGCCUGUGAAGGUGAGUUGAGAAGCUUGCUGGAGGUAUCAGAAGUGCGAAUGCUGACAUGAGUAACGACAAUGGGUGUGAAAAACACCCACGCCGAAAGACCAAGGUUUCCUGCGCAACGUUAAUCGACGCAGGGUUAGUCGGUCCCUAAGGCGAGGCUGAAAAGCGUAGUCGAUGGAAAACAGGUUAAUAUUCCUGUACUUCUGGUUAUUGCGAUGGAGGGACGGAGAAGGCUAGGCCAGCCUGGCGUUGGUUGUCCAGGUUUAAGGUGGUAGGCUGA